UACGUAGGCAGCAAGCGUUGUUCGGAAUUACUGGGCGUAAAGAGUGUGUAGGCGGUGCUCCAAGUCUGGUGUGAAAUCUCCCGGCUUAACUGGGAGGGUGCAUUAGAAACUGGAAUGCUAGAGGAUGGGAGAGGUAAGUGGAAUUCCUGGUGUAGCGGUGAAAUGCGUAGAUAUCAGGAGGAACACCUGUGGUGUAGACAGCUUACUGGACCAUUUCUGACGCUGAGGCACGAAAGCUAGGGGAGCAAACAGG
rnacentral:rRNA from 1 species